GGCCACAUUGGGACUGAGACACGGCCCAAACUCCUACGGGAGGCAGCAGUGGGGAAUAUUGCACAAUGGGGGAAACCCUGAUGCAGCGACGCCGCGUGAGCGAAGAAGUAUUUCGGUAUGUAAAGCUCUAUCAGCAGGGAAGAUAAUGACGGUACCUGACUAAGAAGCCCCGGCUAACUACGUGCCAGCAGCCGCGGUAAUACGUAGGGGGCAAGCGUUAUCCGGAUUUACUGGGUGUAAAGGGAGCGUAGACGGCAAGGCAAGUCUGAUGUGAAAACCCAGGGCUUAACCCUGGGACUGCAUUGGAAACUGUCUGGCUCGAGUGCCGGAGAGGUAAGCGGAAUUCCUAGUGUAGCGGUGAAAUGCGUAGAUAUUAGGAAGAACACC
rnacentral:rRNA from 1 species